rnacentral:tRNA from 1 species
UAUGAAGUGCCUGAUUUUGAAAGGAUAAUUUUGAUAGAAUUAAUCAUGUGUGUUACACCUUCAUAA